rnacentral:misc_RNA from 1 species
CACAAAAGCAGAAUUAUCUGGACAAAAGUGAGGAGAAUAUUCCUUCUAUUAAUGAUUACUCUCAGCCUCAACAUACUAGAACUGUGCUAGAUGUGUCUUAUAUGUCAUGCAAAUCGGUGCAAUUUGGGACUGUGGACAAUGCAGUAUGUGUUGAAGAGACAAAAGAAACUCAGCAGGAUGUUAUAGACAGUUGUAAGGAAGGUGCCAAGUCAACUAUCUCAGUUUUGAUUGAUAGCAUUGAGG